rnacentral:rRNA from 1 species
AGAGUUUGAUCCUGGCUCAGAACGAACGCUGGCGGCGUGCUUAAUACAUGCAAGUCGAACGAGAAAUUCCGGCUUCGGUUGGAAGAGUAAAGUGGCGAACGGGUGAGUAACACGUGGAUAAUCUGCCCUUAAGUCCGGGAUAAUCCCUCGAAAGGGGGUCUAAUACCGGGUGACACUUCGGAAUGACAUCAUUCUGCAGUCAAAGGCGGGGCAACCUGUCGCUUAAGGAUGAGUCCGCGGUCCAUUAGCUUGUUGGCGGGGUAAAAGCCCACCAAGGCUACGAUGGAUAGCCGGCCUGAGAGGGUGAUCGGCCACACUGGGACUGAGAUACGGCCCAGACUCCUACGGGAGGCAGCAGUAGGGAAUAUUGCGCAAUGGACGAAAGUCUGACGCAGCAACGCCGCGUGGGUGAUGAAGCUCCUUGGAGUGUAAAACCCUGUUAGUGGGGAAGAAACGUACGAGUAGUAACUGACUCGUGCCUGACGGUACCCACAGAGAAAGCACCGGCUAACUCCGUGCCAGCAGCCGCGGUAAUACGGGGGGUGCAAGCGUUGUUCGGAUUUACUGGGCGUAAAGGGNCGCGUAGGCGGACCUUCGAGUCGGGUGUGAAAACUAUCGGCUCAACUGAUAGCCUGCAUUCGAUACUGUCGGUCUUGAGUACAGGAGAGGAGAGUGGAAUUCCAGGUGUAGCGGUGAAAUGCGUAGAUAUCUGGAAGAACACCAGUAGCGAAGGCGGCUCUCUGGACUGAUACUGACGCUAAAGCGCGAAGGCUUGGGGAGCAAACAGGAUUAGAUACCCUGGUAGUCCAAGCGGUAAACGAUGAGUACUAGGUGUCGGGGGUCUCGACCCCCUCGGUGCCGCAGCUAACGCAUUAA